rnacentral:snoRNA from 1 species
AAACUAUGAUGUGGGCACAUCCUCAAUAGGUCCUUGAAUCUCUCCCAAGCUUCAUACAAACUCUCUUGACCCUAGUGGGCAAGUCAUUAUCUCAUUGCAAAGCUU